UGCUUAAUCUGUAAGAUCUCUUCACCUUUCCACACACAAUAAUCUCUUAAGUGGCAAAUAUAAAGGCUCAUCCUCUUUUUUGACCUCUACCAUUUGUCAUAGUUGAACAUCUCAUCCUGAAUUCUUUCUCCUCUCUACAUUUUUGUGAUACUGCUGACUCUCACUUCUCUCCUUGCCAUCCCCACUAUCUAGGGUAUCCCCAAUGCUUUAUCCUAGGCCCUCUUCUCAUCCCUCUAUAUUAUCUCACUUAAUGAUCUCAUCAGCCCCCAUGCAUUUAAUUAUCACCUCUAGGCAAAUGAUUCCCAAAUCCACAUAUCCAGUCAUAGUCUUCCCCCUGAGCAACACCCCCCAUAUCACCAACACAUUUGGGAAGCUUCUAAGUGAAUUCCUUUAGGCAUCUCAAACUCAGCAUGUUCAGAAUGGGUUAUGUUUCCCAAAAAUAGACCAAUAUCCAAAUGAGAGAGCAUAAGUCUAUAUGUCCAAAAAUAUUUAUAGCAAUCCUUUUUUGUGGUAGCUAAAUACUGGAAAUUAAGAUGUUCAACAACCGAGAAGAAAGCCUAAGUUAUGGGAUAUAAUGUAAGGGAGUACUAUUGUCUCAUUCACAAUGAGAAAUGAAGAAAUAGAUGAUUUCAGAAAGAUGUGAAAAGACUUAUAUAAACUGAUUAAGAAGCAGAACUAGGAAAACAAUUUAUACUAUAAUAUCAACAUUUUUUCAAUGAAUAAUUUUGAGGAAUUUUUUAAACUAACAAAGAAUGAAAUGAGAAGAACCAGGACCACAAUUUAUAUAAUAACAAGAACACUGUAAAAACUAGCAACUCUGAAAGUUUGUGAGAACUAUGCUCAGUACAAUGAACCUUGGUGAUUCAAAUCAGAGUACUAAUGAUGAAACAUGCUCUUCAUUACAGAGAGAAUAUUGGGCUUUGGUUCCAAAUGAGACAUAUAUACUUUUUGUAUACAGCCAUUGAGGGAAUUUGCUUUAAUUGACUAUGCGUAUUUGUUAUGAAAAAUUUGGUAUUUUUUUCAAUGAGUAGAUUGUGGAUGGGAAAGAAAAUACUUUUCUGUUAAUUUUUUUUUUUAAAUAGGUAGGUGGGGGUACUACAAAUGUGAAAUGUUGCCUUCACUUUCAGAUGAAAUUAAUCAUUGUAUUAUUAGUUUUACUUAGCUGUUUUGUUCAGUUGCAAGAGGUCUCUCACCAAGUGGAAAUAUUCUCUAAGUGUGUGUAAUAUAAAAACAAAGCACAGCAAUAAAACUGAAAGGGACAAAAAAAAUUUUUUUAAACAGAAUUCAUUAUCUUUCCCCCCAAAACUGUCCUAUCUUCCAAACCUUUCUUUACUCCUGAGGGAAGCACUAUCCUCCUAGUCACCCAGCCUGACAAACCUCAAUCAUUCUUAAUUCUUUUCACUCGCUUCAUAUAUCCAAAUAAUUGCUGCAUCUCAUAAUUUUUUUCUUAACAGUAGCAUUCUUCCAAGUCCCCCUGCCUCUACUAACUGAGUAACCGUCCUCAUCCAGACCUCAUCACCCCUUUCUUGUCUGGACUAUUGUAGUAUACUUCUAAUUAGUCUCCUUGCCUCAAGUCUCUCCCCAUCCUAGUCCAUCUUCCUCUGAGUUCUUACAGGGAUUUUUUUCAAAUAUAAGUUUGACCAUGUAACCCACACACAGCUCAAUAAACUCCAGUAACUCCCUACUACCUUCCGAAUCAAAUAUAAAAUCCUCUGACAUUUAGGGUUCUUCAUAACCUUUUCACUCCCUACUUUGCCAAGCUUCUUUUAUCUUUUACCAUGGGUUCAACCAUCCGGCCGCGUUAGCCAGCUCACAAACAACACUCCAUCUCUAGUAUCCAUCCCUAUACAAUAGCUGCCCCCCCCAUGCCUGAAAUGCUCUUUCCCUCCUCAUCUCUGCCUUUUAGUUUCCCUGGAUUCCUUGAAGACUCAAUUCAAAUUCCCAGUUACUGGAAGAAGCCUUUCUUAGAGUCUCCCCAGCAGCUAGUGCCUUCCCCCAUGACAUUAUUUUCCAUCUACUCUGUAUGUAUCUAGUCAAUUUACAUAUUAUCUCCCAAUUAGUAUGUGAGCUCUUUAAGGGGCAGGCGUUGUUUUGGCUUCUUUUUGGGUCUCUAAUGCUUAGCAUAAUGCCUGAUACAUUUUGUUAUUGUUGUUCAAUCAUUUCACCUAUGUCUGACUCUUUGUGACCCCAUUUAGUGUUUUCUUCACAGAGGUCCUAGAAUGCAGCUCCAUUUUACAGCUGAGGAAACUGAGGUAAACAGAACUAAGUGACUUGUCCAAGGUCACACAGUUAUUAAGUGUCUGAAGCCAGAUUUAUACUCAAUCAGAGUUCCUGACUCUAGGCCCAGCAUUCUAUUCAUUGUAUCAUAUAUUUGCUCAUGCCUGGUAUAUAGCAUGUAUUUAAUAAGUGUUUCUUAAAUUAUGUGGUGAUCAACUCUGAUGAACAUGACUUUUUUCAACAAUGAGGUGAUUCAGGCCAAUCCCAAUGGACUUGUCAUGGAGAGAGCCAUCUGCAUCUAGAAGAGCACUGUGGGGACUGAAUAUGGAUCACAACAUAGUAUUUUCACCAUUUUUGUUGUUUGCUUGUUUUUUUUUUCCCUCUUUCUCAUUUCUUUGAUCUGAUUUUUCUUAUGCAGCAUGAUAAAUGUGGAAAUAUGUUUACAAGAAUUGCAUGGAUUUAACAUAUAUUAACAUAUAUUGGAUUACUUGCUGUCUAGGGGAG
ensembl:lncRNA